UACGGGGGGGGCAAGCGUUGUUCGGAAUUACUGGGCGUAAAGGGCGCGUAGGCGGCCUUCUAAGUCAGACGUGAAAUCCCUCGGCUCAACCGAGGAACUGCGUCUGAUACUGGAAGGCUUGAAUCCGGGAGAGGGAUGUGGAAUUCCAGGUGUAGCGGUGAAAUGCGUAGAUAUCUGGAGGAACACCGGUGGCGAAGGCGGAUCUCUGGGCCUUACCUGACGCUGAGGCGCGAAAGCUAGGGGAGCGAACAGG
rnacentral:rRNA from 1 species